GUAGCUUAUUUAUGCUGGAUUUUGAAAUACGACCAUUUGUUGCAUGAUCUAAACCCUUGCCAAUCUUGCUCACCCCUUCAUAAGUGAGGAUUGAUCAACGUUUAUGAAAUGGAAAUAUGAGAGGAUGAAUGCAAACUUGGAGAUGAUUGCAGUUGACAUGGAGAUGGGGAGUAAUUCGAUUGGUAAUGGGACGUAGAUAAAUAAGAAGGCAUGAAGUUCUCUUCCUUGGGAGUACAAAAUGGAGGAUAUUAUUCUUUUGGAUGUUGAUGAUUUUUAUAGUCACCAUGGAUUAGAGAAUGCUAUUGACAUAGAUGGUGAUGAUAGCAAUGACUCUAAUGUAAGACAAGAUACAAGUGAGACUCGUAUGGUGGAGCCUCUAACCAUAUAAUUUAGUAUAGAGGUCCCACAAGAGGGUAUGUGAUUUGAGUCCCAUGAAGCUGGAUUAGAUUUUUAUAAUAAAUAUGUUAAGAAAUUUGGUUUUAGUAUUCAAUGUUUUCUUCGACUCGUAGAACAAGGAAAGAUGGAUCAUUCAUCACUCGUAAAUUUGUAUGCUCAAAACAAGGCAAGCGGCACAAGAUAUAUGAGGCAAAUUAGUCUCGGCCUUAUACAAGGAUAGGGUGCAGAGCCAUGUUAAGAAUCAAGAAAGAUGAAUAUGGUAUAUGGUUUAUUGCAAAUCGCAAUAAAGAUCACACUCAUGACUUAACUUCACAAUCCAAAAUCCAUCUCCUUAUGUUACAUCGUAAAAUUCUGAAGUACACACGAGAGAUGAUUCGUAUGCAUAACUAAUGUGGGUUAACUACCCCAAAGAUAAUGAAAGUGUUGAGUACACAGGGUGAAGGUCCAAGGAGUCUCCCUUUUGUAGAGCUAAAAUGUAAGAAUGAAACAUAUAAAAAUCAGAAGAAAAUAGUGGUGGAGAUCUAUGGAUGAUGAGAUUGCAUUGUAGAACGACAUUUUGAAAGUAAAAUACGGUGACGACAGAUACAGUCUAUAGUUGGGUGGUAACGGUAAUCAGAGAAAGCAAUCUAUAGUUUGGAAAGGUUUUACAAACUAAAAUAUUCAUGACAAUUUAUUCUAGAUGGGAGGUGGGUAAUGGAUCCAAGGUUCCUUUUUGGUAUGGUAAGUAGGUUGGUGAUGCUCCUCAAAGGUAUUCCUUUCCUCUUGUUUUUAAUGCUUCUUCUAAUCCAAUGGCAAAAGUGACGGAGAUGUUCUCAAGGGAAAGAGGAGUUUGGGACAUUGGGUAUAUUUACAAUAGAGCUUCUGAUGAAUUUAUUGUGCAGAUGGCAGGGUUGUUACAUGUCUUGGAGAAGGUAAACUUCUUUCCUGAUUUUAAGGAUGAGGUGGUAUGGGAGGCUGAGAAUGAUGGAAUUUAUUUCAGUAAAAUCUGUGUAUAAAUUGUUGUUCUAUGAUAGGAAAGGUGGAAUAGAUGCUCAUUAAAGAGAAUAUGGACAUGGAAGAUACCACAAAAAGCCAAGGUAUUCUUGUAGGUCUUAUUUCAAGGGAAAUCAUUGACUGUUGACAAAUUGAUGAGUAGAGGAAGAAUUAUAUCCAACAUUUGCAUUAUGUAUAAGGAUAGUGACGAGAACAUUUGCAAUAUGUGCCCCAAUUUGGGAGUAUAUCACUACACAAUGAGUUUUUUUUUAGGAUGUGCUUUGUUCCAUAGAGCGAGGAGUCUUUUACAUGAUCGUUCACAAAGUGGCAUGAAGUGAUGAAUGGGUGCAAAACCCAAGUCAAUCAUCAAAGAUCAAGACAAGGCAAUGGCACCUGCAAUAAAAAAAGGUGUUCCCAGAGUCCCAAUGCAGGUUAUGUAGAUGACAUAUUACACAAAAGAUUGAGCAAAAAAUGGCACAAGUUGUGCACAAACAUCCAUCACUCCAUAGGGACACAAAAAUAUAUUGACCAUUGUACUACCAUUGCACAAUUUGAAGAUGAAUGGCCAAGAAUAUUAGAAAUAUAUGAUUGAAUGAAUAAUGAAUGAUUGAAAGUCUUUAAAAGAAAUCUGGCAUCAAUAGGUGGAUGUAUAGCUGCAAGAUUACUUCUUUGUUGGCAAUAGGACUAGUAUAAGAAUUGAAGCCAUGAAUAAGCAUAUCAAGGCCUAUGUGAAUUUUCAUACUAAUUUGACUACAUUUGUUGGCUAAUUACAAGAAUUAAUUAACAAUAAAUUUGAUGAAGAAAACUCUGCAGACUUCAAAUCUCACAAUGAGACACCAAUUAUGAAGAAUGCCACUCACAUAGAGAAGCAAAUGGCUCAAAUUUAUAUAUCAACUGUCUUUUAAAACUUCUUUCAGCCAGAGUUAAUGAGAGCCGUUAAUCUUAUUUGUGAUGUGCAAGACGAUGAUGGGGGCUCUAUGCACUUUAAGUUUGAAAGAAUAUGGGACAUGUCGCCCAUUCUACGUGGUAGAAUUCACUAUCAUUGAGGAGAAAGCAACAUGUAGCGACCAUAUAUAUGAGUGCAUGGGUAUCCCAUGUAGCCAUAUGCUUAGGGUAUUUGUAUUUAAAAAUAUACUUUGAGUUACCCCAACACUAUAUAAUGAAGUGAUGGACAAAGGGGUUGCUCGUGUUGGUUAUAGAGUUCAAAUACAAGCCCAUACUUAUUCCACAUGCUACAAUGAUCUAUUGCAAAGGUGCAACAUUCUAUCAACUAAUGGGCAGUGAAUUUGAGUGUAUAUGAGUACGCAAAGAUGCUUAUAGAUGAGGUACAUGUAAAGAUUGUUUCUAGGGUUGACAUGGAGAAAGCUUCUUAAAAGCAUGCUUCUUCAACCUAUGGUAGCCCCACAUCCACAGGAAUCCCCACCCUAUGUGGGGUUCUCAUCCUCACUGUGACUAAUUAUUGAGGCUUCAAUUUGUGCAAAGCCAAAAGGACAACCAAUUCAUGUGAUAAUCAAACGUAGGAAUAAGCAAAGAACGAGUAAGAGAAAGUGCACUAAAUGUGGAGUCAUAGGUCAGACAAACAUAAUUGUUCAUCUAUGCAUUGCAAAUAGUAUGAUUAGACAUCUUUCUUACUUGUGAUCUUACUUUACUAUUUAGAUGCCAUUAUCUGGGCUCACCGUUCUUUGCUUUAAAUGGAAGCAUACGUGCUUAUAUUUAAAGAACUUAUGGAAUGUUGUUUACUAGAUGGUUCUUUUUGGAAUAUAGUUUAUGGAAAAUAAUGUCAUGAAAAUUUCUUACUCAAAUGCUCUACUAUUACAAAGUUAUUAUUUCUUGUAUAUUUAUAUAUAGGGGGCAGUAUUUAGAGCACAAGUAACCUUCAAGGCAGCACAAGUAAUCUUCAAGGGAGCAUAAUUGACACCAAGAAACCUCUUUUACACCUUUUUGAGCUUAUGGUUCCUUGUAUCCUUUUUGUAUCUAUUAUGUAGUUUGUUUUUUAGAUGUAUAGUAUUUUUUGAGUUACCUUAUCUUUUUGGCUGGGGGGUUUUGUAUUGAGCACUUCUGGCUUGGGGCUGCCUAUUUUUUUGUACUCUAUGUACUUUCUGGUUACACAUAGGUUAACAAUUUUAAAACAAAAAAUUAUAUGUCUUUUUUGUAAAGAGAGUUUUGGAUGCUAAUUGGAAUGUUGUAAGAUCACUUGGGUGCAUAUAAAUACAUAGUUUCUUUGUGUCAACAAAUUUGGCAACUAAUUUGAGGGUCCCCAUUUUAUUUAUAUAGAAAUGUAAUAUUUUUUCUUUUGUGAUCAGAAGUGCUUGUUAAGGGCUAUGCUAUCAGCUUUUAUUUAUGUAAAUUUAAAGAUGAUUUGAAUUUUUUAAAGAAUAUGCUAUCAUUUUGAUUCAUGCAAGUAUUGGUUGUAGGAUUUUUAUGUUCAUUGAAUUUGAGAUGAACUCAUUGUUGUGAUGUUAAGAUGUUUGAAGAAUUAUUUUCCUAGUUAUCCAUCAGUUUCAACAGGUGUUUCAUGUGUAAUUUGGACUAAAUGCCGCUACUAGUAGAAACAAAUCAAUUGCGAUGAGUAUCUGUUUCAGUAGGUGUUACUUUUGUUUGAACAAAACUUAGGCCGAUGUACAUACACUAUGUAGUAGUGUGUAUAGGUUGAUUUCAAUGUAUGUGCACUGUUGCGUAGCAUGUAUAUGUUGUUAUUGAGGUCCACAUGCUAUGACACAGGUGUAAACGAUGUUAACAAUGUGAACACAUUGCUAACAAUGUGUAUAUACUACUGACAACUUGUACACACUUUUAACAUUGUGUAUGUGUUGAUUUCAAAGCUUGUAUAUUGUUCAUAAUGUGUAUAUGUUGAUCCCAGUAUUUGCAUACUUUCAUAUGAGCAUACAUAGGAUGUUACUAACAUGUAUUGUAAGGCAUAUGAGCUAUAUGCAUCAUCGAAGGAUAGGCAAAAACAAACUAUAUUCCUACUGUGGUACCAGAACGAGCCAAAAAUAUUCUAAACUCAACGCCUGAGACAAGAUUGGUUGGAACGAGAUGGAGUUCAAUGAGUAGUAGUGUGUAUAUACUGCUAACAUCAUGUACACACUUUUAACAAUGUGUAUUGAUUACAAUGCUUGUAUGUUGCUCAUAAUGUGCAUAUGUUGUUCUCAGUGUUUGCAUACUUUUACAUGAGCAUAUAUAGGAUCUUACUAACAUGUGUUGCAAGUCAUAUGAGCUAUAUGUAAUGUUUCUUAGUUUGAUUAAUAAUUUGACUCGCAGGCUCUAUUUAGAGUUUGUGUAGUUAACUCGAAUACAUGUUGAUUGAUACAAGUUUUGGAAGAGUUGCCGGACAUACAUAUUAUGCUUGGUUAUUACAUCUAUUAGUGUUGCUAGGUUUUGGCGUCACAGUGAGCUCUAGAGUGUUCGAGAGCUAUUGCUUGCAUUUGGAGACAGAGAUUGAGCUAAAAUGUGGAGCGGUAUAGAUUGACCUUUAGAAAGUAUAGCAUCUAUGUCAACAUAACUGUGGAGCAGCAUAGAUUGGCCUAAAAUGUUGUGGCAACACAAUCGUUUGAUAUUCUUUGUGUCAAUAACUUUGACAACUAAUUUGAAGGUCUCCACAUUAUUGAUAAGGGAAUGUAAUACUGUUUUUGUGAUGACAAGUGCGUGUUAAAGACUAUGCUAUCAAUUGAUAGUUAUGUAAAUUUAAAGACGAUUUCAUUUUGUUAAAGAAUGUGUUGUCAUUUUGAUUUA